UUAUAUUAUAAGGGUAAAUAACUCAGAUAACCGGGUGGAGUGUUUAACAAAAAGCAGCUGACAGAUUAGCAUUGGACUUGGCGCCCAAACUCAGUAGUAAGAAACCCUCCUCAUUCUUUUCUCUUCCAUUUUGAUUUUUGAAUCCCUUCUUCACUUAUCCUCCUUUUUUUUUUUAACCAUCUCUCAUCUUUUGGCUGAUCGGAAACCUAAAUUUCCAAAAUCAUUGGGCAUGCGGUGCUUCGUCUCUCCGAGAAGGCUUACAACUACUGGUAGCGAAUUGAUGAGGCUUGGUGGAUUGAACGACUGGGUGGAUUGUUGGUUGAGGAUAAUUAUUUGCCAACCCGAACCCCACCUCCAACUAUCGUCGUUGUCCACCUCACAAAGCCAUCAUCGACAUUCACAAGUUCGAGAAAAAGGAUGCUCUCGUGUAAUAAUCUCAAAGUGAGGAAUAGAUUUGUUGAUAUUUUUUAUGAAAUGUAACGAGUUUAACACUCAUCUUUAAUAAGCAAUGAAUAUUUUAUAAUAUAUGUUUCUUUAUUUUAUUAUUAAUGCAAAUAAUUUAUUUGAGUUCGGUUUGGGAGUCACAAGAUGAUUGUAUAGUUUUUUUCUA